CAAUACUCACUACUCACUAGAAAUUAAUGUAUUUUUUUAGUAAUGUUUUAAGAAUUAAGAAUCUGACAACAACAAAGCUUAAAAAAAUGCGGACUUGGUGCAAAUGAUCGUUGUACCGGACCCAACGGCCGUUUCAGACCAGUGCACCGUGUUUCGGAUAGCCGUGCUGGACACGGAGAUUGUCAAAACCAAAAUAAGAUACCUAACACAAGUAUUUGUUCAUUCAUAUCGUCGAGAAGAAUGUUUUCAUCAAUAGUAGGCUAAGCCGGCAUCACACGAUGACAGUUUUUUCAUGAAGCAAUUUUGAACUCGAUGACAUUUAUGUCAUGAACAUUUACACUAGUGAUAUAAAUGUUGCGACAGUUGCUGUCAUGAAACAAAAAUAUUUAGGUAUUAUACAAAAAUGUACGAAACUGUCUUGACAGAAAUAUCUCGAGUGUUCACACGAUGUGUGCAAAAUAUUUCUGAAUACGAACAACAGUCACAUAACAACUUGUUUUUAUAGUGCGCAGUAGUUACUUUACAGUACUCAUAUUUUGUAUUUUAUAAUUAUUAUUAUAAACCAUGGUAUCGAAGCGUGAACGAAUUGCGGCUGCUAUUAUUAUUAUAGAAAGUUUGAACAAAAAACAAAAAAAGGCUAGAAGUGUGUGGGAACGCAGAUGGCUUGAAAGAAGAAAAUGCUAUGGUGCAUAUGAUACAUUAUCCCGAGAGCUGAGAAUGGAAGAUCCUUCACAGCUGAGAAAUUUUAUAAGGAUGUUUGUCGAAGAUUUUGAGGAACUAAGUUCGUGGAUUGCACCAAUUGUCCAAAAAACGGAUACCAAUAUGCAUGAGGCGAUAAUAUAAUGUAAUACAGUUUAAUGUUAGUAGUGAGUGAUAUUGAAUGUUCUUAAAUUUACUUUUAUAUAUUUUUGGCUCAUUCACCCGGCUUGACCCGAAUUAUAUAAUAAUUUUUUAUUAAAAUAUUAGAAAAUUCAAUAUAUAUAAAUUUACCACUUGAAGCUAGAAAAAAUAUUCAGCACAAUCAGUAAACAGAUAGUAGUUUUAUGAAUUACAAUACUUUUUUGUACGUAUAAUAAAAACUACAAUACUUCUUUUUAUACUAAAUUCACUGUUAGUUCUUGAUUAGGUGCAUGAAUAUAUAAAUUGUUUUCCGAGGUAACUGGUCACUCGAUAACAUGCGAUAUUAAAUUGGCCAUGAAUAAAAUAAGCAUCUAAACUGUCCGGCAUUUUCCAUUACCGCACAAACAUGACACCAAACCGCUUAAAAUGCAUAACACAGUACCGUUCAUAAGUACGAUACCGUAUAGAUAUGUAGAAGCAUAGAAACUAAUUUCGCAUUCAAAUAUUGUACGAUAUUAAUUCGAAGUACAAAUUAAAAUCGUUAAUUAAUUAUUUCACAGCAUUUUUUAUUAUUAUUUUUU